GACGGAGGAUGCAAGUGUUAUCCGGAAUCACUGGGCGUAAAGGGUCUGUAGGUGGUUUUUUAAGUCUGCUGUUAAAGCUUGAAGCUCAACAUUCAAAAUGCAUCGGAAACUAGAAGACUUGAGUAUGGUAGGGGUAGAGGGAAUUUCCAGUGAAGUGGUGAAAUGCGUAGAUAUUGGAAAGACCACCAAAGGCGAAGGCACUCUACUGGGCCACAACUGACACUGAGAGACGAAAGCUAGGGGAGCGAAUGGG
rnacentral:rRNA from 1 species